CUGACAAAUAAAGCUGAUGGAUGUUCUCGCGAAGGAUCAGUGUAUAGAUGGAAUGAAAAGGUUUUUCCUCUCGAUACAAACUCGAAAGGUGGAUGCGACAACGUACUCCCGAUCGAAGUAGCCAAAAAAGACUGAGGUGAACGAUAAAUAGGCAGUGUGUGUGUGCUCGAGAAUUAAUGACGUCGCGUGGAGCAAAGUACUGGAGCUUCAGUAUUAAUUCAUACGGGUUUGCUUCGAUAUGAUUUCGAGUUACUGCUUCACCUAUUGUUCGAAAAAUUGUUCCAUUAUUUAACUCUGUGUGUUGAUCAUUUUUUUUUUCUAAAUUCGCUUUGUCUGCAAUUGAGCUGUCUUCUGUUUCACCAGGUUUCACCAUCGUGCCAAGGUUUACAUAACUGCGCACUAUGUGCAGCACGAUUUAGCGCCAUGCAUUCUGAAAUUCGAUUUCCUGAUUCCAAUAAGGGAGUUUCAGGGUUACCUGAGGUUCGUUCAGCCGCAAAGAAGGCUGAAAAAAAUUGACGAACGGACGUCGUUUUUCUCAGUAGCGCGCAGGCUUCAAAUUUACAUAAAGGUAUAGGUUGCCUGCCACCGCGUAGCAGGCCCUGGUGGAUCAAGUCUCGUUGUGUUAUUAACAUGUGAAGUGAACUUGAUUGUCAUC